rnacentral:rRNA from 1 species
CAACAAGCCUGUAAUCGGUACGGGUUGUGGGAGCAAGAGCCCGGAGAUGGAUUCUGAGACAUGAAUCCAGGCCCUACGGGGCGCAGCAGGCGCGAAAACUUUACAAUGCGGGAAACCGUGAUAAGGGAACCCCGAGUGCCCGUAGAAUCGGGCUGUUGAUCUGUGUAAAAAGCAGGUAAAGAAAGGGCCGGGCAAGACCGGUGCCAGCCGCCGCGGUAAUACCGGCGGCUCGAGUGGUGGCCACUAUUACUGGGCUUAAAGCGUUCGUAGCUGGGUUGUUAAGUCUCUUGGGAAAUCCACCGGCUCAACCGAUGGGCGACCAGGGGAAACUAGCAUUCUAGGGACCGGGAGAGGUGAGAGGUACUCCAGGGGUAGGAGUGAAAUCCUGUAAUCCUUGGGGGACCACCGAUGGCGAAGGCAUCUCACCAGAACGGCUCCGACAGUGAGGAACGAAAGCUGGGGGAGCAAACCGGAUUAGAUACCCGGGUAGUCCCAGCUGUAAACGAUGCGCGUUAGGUGUAUCGGUGACCACGAGUUACCGAGGUGCCGAAGGGAAACCGGAAACGCGCACUUGACUUG